rnacentral:ncRNA from 1 species
UCACCAAAUAAGGUCCCUAAAUGACCACUCAAUGAUAAAUGAGAUAGGGGUGCAAAGACAAUCAGGAUACUUGUCUAGAAGCAGCCACUCUCCAAAGAGUGCAUAAUGGCUUACUAAUCGAGCACUCUUGUGCUAAAGGUGAACGUGGAUAAGCGAUCUAUAAAAGCUGUGG